CACGUAGGCGGGACAGAAAGUCAGAGGUGAAAUCCCAGGGCUCAACCUUGGAACUGCCUUUGAAACUCCUGUUCUUGAGGUCGAGAGAGGUGAGUGGAAUUCCGAGUGUAGAGGUGAAAUUCGUAGAUAUUCGGAGGAACACCAGUGGCGAAGGCGGCUCACUGGCUCGAUACUGACGCUGAGGUGCGAAAGUGUGGGGGAGCAAACA
rnacentral:rRNA from 1 species